GCUGUAGCUCAAUAGUAGAGCAUCAGCUUUGCAAGUGGAAGGUCCCAGGUUCAAUCCCCAAUGGCAUCUCCA